rnacentral:rRNA from 1 species
CCUACGGUUGGCUGCAGUGAGGAAUAUUGGUCAAUGGACGAGAGUCUGAACCAGCCAAGUAGCGUGAAGGAUGACUGCCCUAUGGGUUGUAAACUUCUUUUAUAUGGGAAUAAAAUGUUCCACGUGUGGGAUUUUGUAUGUACCAUAUGAAUAAGGAUCGGCUAACUCCGUGCCAGCAGCCGCGGUAAUACGGAGGAUCCGAGCGUUAUCCGGAUUUAUUGGGGUUAAAGGGUGCGUAGGUGGAUUUUUAAGUCAGUUGUGAAAGGUUGCGGCUCAACCGUAAAAUUGCAGUUGAAACUGGCAGUCUUGAGUGCAGGAGAGGUGAGCGGAAUUCGUGGUGUAGCGGUGAAAUGCGUAGAUAUCACGAAGAACUCCGAUUGCGAAGGCAGCUCACUGGACUGCAACUGACACUGAGGCACGAAAGUGUGGGUAUCAAACAGGAUUAGAUACCCUUGUAGUC